AUGAACGCUGGCGGCGUGCCUAAUACCUGCAAGUCGAGCGCACAGAUGAGGAGCUUGCUCCUCUGACGUUAGCGGCGGACGGGUGAGUAACACGUGGAUAACCUACCUAUAAGACUGGGAUAACUUCGGGAAACCGGAGCUAAUACCGGAUAAUAUAUUGAACCGCAUGGUUCAAUAGUGAAAGACGGUUUUGCUGUCACUUAUAGAUGGAUCCGCGCCGCAUUAGCUAGUUGGUAAGGUAACGGCUUACCAAGGCAACGAUGCGUAGCCGACCUGAGAGGGUGAUCGGCCACACUGGAACUGAGACACGGUCCAGACUCCUACGGGAGGCAGCAGUAGGGAAUCUUCCGCAAUGGGCGAAAGCCUGACGGAGCAACGCCGCGUGAGUGAUGAAGGUCUUCGGAUCGUAAAACUCUGUUAUUAGGGAAGAACAAAUGUGUAAGUAACUAUGCACGUCUUGACGGUACCUAAUCAGAAAGCCACGGCUAACUACGU
rnacentral:rRNA from 1 species